rnacentral:rRNA from 1 species
AUACGGAGGGUGCAAGCGUUGUCCGGAUUUAUUGGGUUUAAAGGGUGCGUAGGUGGUUUCUUAAGUCAGUGGUGAAAGCCUACAGCUUAACUGUAGAGGUGCCAUUGAUACUGGGGAACUUGAGUAUGGACGAGGUAGGCGGAAUUUGUGGUGUAGCGGUGAAAUGCAUAGAUACCACAAGGAACACCGAUAGCGAAGGCAGCUUACUGGGCCAUAACUGACACUGAGGCACGAAAGCGUGGGGAGCGAACAGGAUUAGAAACCCUAGUAGUCC